UACAGAGGGUGCGAGCGUUAAUCGGAAUUACUGGGCGUAAAGCGUGCGUAGACGGUAGCGUAAGUCAGAUGUGAAAGCCCCGGGCUCAACCUGGGAACUGCAUUUGAGACUGCUCUGCUCGGGUGCGGAAGAGGGAAGCGGAAUUUCCGGUGUAGCGGUGAAAUGCGUAGAUAUCGUAAGGAAGACCAGUGGCGAAGGCGAGUCUCUGGACAGCCGCUGACACUGAGGCACGAAGGCCAGGGGAGCAAACGGG
rnacentral:rRNA from 1 species